UGUGUAUAAAUACUCUUCAACCCUCUCACCAUUUCAACUCACCAUCAACAAUGUUAGCGAUGGCUCUUCACAAUUCUUUUGUACUCAUCGUCUUGUUGGCAUUUGUGUCAGUGUGUUUAUCGGAGAGGCCAUUGCUUAGUCCUUUCCACCACAAUAGAAAGCCAUUACCAGGAGCUCACCCACCUACGCUCCCACCGCCACUACAAAGCCCACAACCACACUUCCCUUCUCCCUUCAUUCACAAUCCCCCAUUCGAGAAGAAGUCUCCCAUGCAAGACGCUCACUCUCCUACAUUUCCAAACCCACAAUCGCCCCACCCUUCUCCCCUUAUUCCUAAGCCGCGACCUUUCCACAAAUCCCCACACUUCUCUCCUGCUAAUGCUCCUCUCUAUCACAAGCCAGGUUCCCCUAUAUUCAAUGGCCCUGGUGAAGUGCAUCCUCCCUUGAAGAAAUCUCCUCCCAAGGCAGUAAUAAAGCCCCCACCAAAGCAUGGACACUACAGUCAUCCUCCCAUGCAUAGCUCUCCUCCACCUCAUCCUACUUAUUAGACACUUUAUAGUAAGUCCGAGGAGAAUAUAUAGACCAUAAAUAAAGGAGACGUGGUUUAGAUUGCGGUGAACAAUAGUAGUAAAACUACAGGUUGAUUUCGCCGAUGAGAAUGAUGAGGGGAGACUUGAAUUAUUUUCUCGUAAAUGUUGUUAUCGGUGUGAUGCAGAAGCCGCGGCUUCUCUAUCUAUUAUUGUAAUGUUAUGUUAUGAUUAGUUCUAUAUUACAAUAUUAUUAGCAUUUCUCACACCA